CAGUCGCCACGGGAAUACGGAGGGCGCGAGCGUUACCCGGAUUUACUGGGCGUAAAGGGCGUGUAGGCGGCCUGGGGCGUCCCAUGCGAAAGGCCACGGCUCAACCGUGGAGGAGCGUGGGAUACGCUCAGGCUAGAGGGUGGGAGAGGGUGGUGGAAUUCCCGGAGUAGCGGUGAAAUGCGCAGAUACCGGGAGGAACGCCGAUGGCGAAGGCAGCCACCUGGUCCACUUCUGACGCUGAGGCGCGAAAGCGUGGGGAGCAAACCGGAUUAGAUACCCCAGUAGUCCCUGUCUCUUAUAC
rnacentral:rRNA from 1 species